ACUGCAUUCAGACUGAAACAAGGUCAAGUUUAGCUGUUAACACACUUAGUCAAAAUGAUGGGCUUCUUUAGGGUUAUGCAAGUGUCACGUGGCACCUGAAGCCUAAAGCUGGAAGGUGCCUCUGUGACAGGGGUGUUGUGCUCAGGUUUUGUAGUUUGCUCCCUCAUAGACACACAACAUAACCCAGGUGCCUUUGCCAGCACAUGCACUCAGAAGUGGUCUCCCCAGCAAUGAUGUAUUCUCUGUUUUAUUCAGCAUGUAAGAUUUAACCUUGGUAGCCUUGCUGGUGAUAAAUUAUUCUGAUUUCAACACUACCCUGUUACAUCCAGAACUCCUGCAUGGAGCUUCCUGUGCUCUUUCCUGGUCUGGUGCCUCCUUCUGCGGGUCAGUCUCACUUGACAUUUUCUUCAGGAGCUGUUUCCUGCCGUGGCAGAGCAUCUUCAGCUGUAGCCUCCCGUACUGUGAAGCUGAUGUCACACUGCUAGAGAUAGGAGUAUUUAUUUUUAACCUUUAUUUUUUUAUUUUUUUGGUCUUUCUCUGAGUUAUUCCCUUUAUUUUAUCUGACCAAAAACCCCAGAACAGACAAAAGCCAACCACUGAUAUAUCCGUUUAUUUUCUGCAGUUUCCCGGAUCUUGCAGAGGAAACACCAGAGCUCCUCUGUGAUGCACUUUUGACUGGAGUUGUGUUCACUAAUUCUUCCUCCAGCAGUAGUUGCUUCCCUGGUCUAGAUGGGGGUAAGUGAGGAGGGUGUUAAUCAGCUGUGACUGUGCUCUGAGUGGUGAGGUGGCCAGUGUUAGUGAGGGGAAGCCCCACCUGGAUCUGGCUUUAAUGCAGAACAUAAUUCGUGCGCCAAGGGGUCUGGUAAGGGAUGGAAAGCACAUUGAGGGAGGUUGAAAAUUUCCUCAACUUUCACCACUGAGCUCAAUGCAAAUGGCUAGAAAAUGUGUCCACCUCCAACUUCUUGUGCUAGCCUGUGGUCGUCAAGUGGUACAGACAUUUUGAAUCGUUAUUGCCAACUUCAGACAGCCCCAACAUAUUCUGUCUGCACUGGAAGAAAUCUUCAAACAGUUUUGACAAAUAUUUUUCCAUCAAAGUCUGUAAUGUAAUCAAUGUUAAAACCUGUAAUGAAACAGCUUUGAUUUAGGAAAAAAGUCUCAGCAUGAAAAGUGCAAACUAAGUAACCUGGGGUAGUUCUGAAAAACAGAAGAAGAACAAAGUAAUUUUUAGUUUCACCAUACUCCUCAGUUUACUCUGUUUCUAUCUUUUAAAAUCUCUACUUUUCCUCUCUUUUUUAAUAUCUUCCCACUUUUUCAGUGGGGUGACAAGAGAAACCAUGCCAAAAAAGAAGAAAUCAAAACGUUUUCUUACGCUUUCUUUUUUCUUUUUUUUUUUUUCUUUACCCUUUUUCUUCACGUUUUAAAACUUGAAGUGAUGAAAACUGGGACUUGAUGUGAAAAAAUGUCAUUUUUAUUUUGACAUUUUACACAAAGAAACAAAACACUUGAGUGUGGGGAAAAGGAAGGAGAGGGGAAGAAGUCACAUUUUCCAUCAGGCACCCUUAAGGUAUCUCGACCAUAACACUGAUGUCCAAUUUUCCGAACACAACUUUCAAGUAAAGGAAAACAGCAGCCGCCAGUCUCCUCUGACUCUUUCAGCACUCUCAUUCGAUCACUCUGACCAGGGUAAUUUGUUUUCCUCACCUCAUUUUCAAAACUCAGACAAAAGAAGUUAUUGGCGCUUUGCCUGUGUAAGGCAAUAGGGAAGGGCUGUGGUGGAAAGUGCUGCUUCCAGUAGGUCUCCUCUGCUCUGUGAUGGGGACCUGGAGGCCCUGUGGUCAUUUGUGUCACUAAGUGCCUAGGCUGGGCACUGGAAAGCAAAGGACCCAUGCAGCACUUCUGCCCUAAGCGACCUCCUGAGUGCUGCUGCUGUGCUCUGCAGACAUGUGGAUAGCAAUAACAUCAGCAAUUAACAUGACUCAACUGCUUGCAAAAAAAAAUUAAAUGUUCCUUGACACAAAAAUAACAGUCAAACCUGAAAAUUACAGUGGCCAAAUAUUUUAACUUAGACCGUAAGACCCUCUUUACAGCGGACCGGUUGAAAUAAAAGGUCAUCUCUCACAAGUUGGGGUGCUUGAGUGUGCGGAGCUUGCCCAGCUUGCCUUGGCCCUGGCCACUGGCACCAGCUGGAGUUCCCAGAGGCUCCCACACAUAAGAGAGAGCUGCAAAACCUAAACAAACAGCACCAUUCACAUCCCAAGCUGUGGACAAGGAUCUCCACCUCCAAGAAGGAACUGAGAAAUUAUGAAUGGCACAAGCGUAAUGACCCAAGAGCUCCCUGCUCAGAUUUCUCCCAUGGUUUGCCCGUGUCUGCUGCUUCAGCCCAGACACUCUUUCAUGGACUGGCAGAGAGAUAUUUUCCACUGUUGCUUUCGGGCUUCAGCCACAGCAACAUGAGAGCCCCACUGAGACAGCUUCCAGCUGGCAGCAGGGCUUCCAGCACCGUGUCAUCUAACCCUUUUGGGAGCAAGCAUUGGGAUGGCCAUCCACAGAAAUGCAGCAUCUCAACCCACCAAAUAAUAAUGGGUGGUACUACUUGGAUAAGAUGGAUCAGGAGAAAUAUACUCAAGCUGAUGUUUAGGGAUCAGGCUGAACCUAGAAAGUAUUUUCCAUCCCUAGUGGUUAGAAUUUUAUGAGGGUCAUUCCUACACUGCAAAGUCUGCUGGAGAAAUGUGAAAUCAGCACUGCUUUUACCAGGUUUUUGAAAAGACUCGUUGAUUGGGCAUUGUUUUUUGUAAAAUGAAAAAGCAGCUGUGAUUCAGACCUACAUGUCCAAUGGAUCAGGUUAAAUUACCCCAGUCUAAGCCCAUCUUGAAAAUAAACAUUUUCCUCCUCAUUUAAUUUCUGUUGCAUAUGGUUCAUUUCUCCUAAUCAUCAUCUGGGCAGAGAAAAAGCUGCUGUGAUUGACAGCAGAGAGAGCAACAGAUGGUUCUGUUUUUGUUCAAGUGAGACCUAGAGAAAUAAGCCCAUUCAGUAGCAUUACUCUAACUUUCUCUUUUUAAAGUAACUUUUUUUUGGUAAUGAGCUGUGUCAAUACUUUCUAAAUCAAGCACUCAGAUACACAUCAACUUUAAAUUAAAACAAACAUGAAAAUAUUUCUAGGCUUGCAUUCUUUACCAGCAUUUCUCACAAGUUUAAGAGCAGAUGCUUUCUCACAUGAGCAUCUGUAAGGGUGCUGCGGCACUCAGUAACACUUCCACAAUGUAAAAUUCCCUAAUGAUUGCUCAAGGAUGGUACCAAGCACUAUGCAUACAGGAGGCUAAAAAGCAUAGUGAGCUUCAUAAGAGCAAAAUAAGUUAGUUGCUUGACUGUAUGUCCAGAGUAACUACAGAUUUUCCUUUGAAAUGGGCUGGUAUAAGUGGGAAGGCUCUGUCUAGGUAACUUAGAUAAAAAGUGCUCAGCAAGUUCCUAUCUUGGAUUUCCCAGAGAAUGAAUUUUCCACACUCCAUUUUUCCUGCACAGUCAAAACACAGCAGGGCUGGCAAGCAAAGCCCCAGUAAUCCUGAUGCAUAGGAAAUUCCCAUGUAAAGGAGCAUUUCAAGCUAUUAGUCUAUGGUUUUGGUUGUCUAGACUAUUCAUCUCCCUGUGUUUUCCAAACUUGCUCUUUUCCUCUCAGAAGCUUCCCUGGUGAGGCUUAGUAUCAAAUUCCCAAAUUCUGCCUGGCCCACAGGGCCAGCAGCAGCAUGUUGAGCCCCUCCAGCACCCCACAUGCUGUGCAGAGUCAGGGCUCCUGGGGUAAACCCAGACCGUGGAAGCAACACAAACUCUUUGAUGAGUUAAGGUAGAUGAAGAUACAGGUUUAAGGACUUUCGUAAUGUGGCACAGGAAUUGGAAGUUUGAUGCUACCACUGAGUGGCAAGCAUUUGUGUGACAUUACAGAAGCUUUAUUUUCAACAGACACAUUUUUCAAAAACGGAUCUUUAAAAAACCUGAGAAAAUCUGGCUUUGUCAUAAGUGAGCCUAAUGUUAAAACACUUUUUGGUGCUAAUUGUAUUCACCAGCAAUUAAAAUUAAGUCUUCCUUGCCCACCCAAGUGUGUGAAGUGGUUGGGGAUAUUCUGGUGUGUGAUGUUAUUUUCUGGGGAAAGGGUGGAUGUGACAGGGAGAAAAAGAGUUUUCACUUUCCAGGAGGAGCCUUCUUUGGCUACAGGAGCUGAAGGCAGUGAAAGCCCAGCAUCCGACGAAGGGAGCUCUGCCAAAACCAUCACCCACUUCCACUGUGCUGCAGGUAUUGUUGCACCAAGGUCCUGUGCACUCAUGGGGCUGUCUCUCAUCUGAAAAUCCACUUACAUUGCUCUGGUCACAGGAGAGAGAGCACUGCUGUCUGUAUGUGUGUGUGAGAGAGAAACCAAGUAGUUUAAUCUGCUUGAGCUUUGCAUGUUCUUUAUCACAAAGCCAUAAAUGAGUUAAUCAAAUUUUGACACAAAUUCAAUGUUCAGGUCUGUGAACUUGCAUUAAACCAAGAGCUUUUGGCUUGUGUCAGUAGAAAAAGACAAGCAAGUUUUGCAGUGGUUUUUCCAGUGCUUUUUCACACCAGACCUCAGAUCAAUGUAUAAACCAGCAGUGGUCUGUAAAUGUUCAAAGGCCGUGGGGUUUCCACAGCAAUGACUGUGACCUGUAGCACAGAGCAACGUAGAGAGUCAAAAAGCCGAUCUCCUUCCUGGAUGUAGAUUCUGAUUUCACUUUACUAUAUGAAGAAGAGACAAAAUUCAAAUCCAUGAGAGCCACGGCAUGAACCAUGAGCAAGAUAAUUUACCUACAGCUUUCAACAUUGGUCUUCGAAGUAAGAGGCACCUUAAGAAGCAUAGUUUUCCUCUGGAGAAAAAAAAAAAUACUCAAAAGAAGCUUCUGGGCCUAGUCUCCUGGAUCAAUUUUGUCAGCAGAUGGGUGAAACUGAGUGUCCAAGAGGAGCUGAAAGCUGCUGCCAUGUGGCAGAGAAGGGACCAUGUCACCUGAAACAGGCAACAGGGCAGCUCUGACAGCCUUUCACUGACCUGCCUCUGGCUUACAAGGUAUUGGAGAGGAUGAGUUGCUUAUGUAAGUCCCUCAGCCACUUCUGUGACUUUUAGUUUUACGCUACAGAAAAAUACUUCUUGUGGACAAAACUCCUGCAGGAUCUGUACAUGGGAAGAACAAAGCAAAGGACCCUGCUGUUCUUGGUGGCAGGGCACAGAACAAUCAGUGGAGUAACUGGCACUGUGCAGAUCCUGUCACUGCAGAUAUGACAAACAACUAACCCUUGUUAAAAACAAUGAGCUAGACAGGGAGAGA